AAACAAGGGAUUCCUACAACUCAAUAGCAAAAAAGCAAAUAACCCUAAAAAAAAGAAGGGGGAAGCAAAGGUCUUGAAUAGCUGUUUCGCCAUGGAAGACAUACAGAUGGCCAAUAGGUAUAUGAUGAUGCUGAACAUCACUAAUCAUCAGGGAAAUCCAGAUCAAACCACUUGCUCCUGCCACAGCCCCAGUGCAACUGCUGCAUGAGGACUUCAACAUAGUAACCACUAGAAAGCCCUUACAAUGCUGCUGCUGCUGCUGCUACUGCUAAGUCGCUUCAGGCAUGUCCGACUCUGUGCGACCCCAUAGACGGCAGCCCACUAGGCUCCCCCGUCCCUGGGAUUCUCCAGGCAAGAACACUGAAGUGGGUUGCCAUUUCCUUCUCCAAUGCAUGAAAGUGAAAAGUGAAAGUGAAGUUGCUCAGUCGUGUCCAACUCUUCGCAACCCCAUGGGCUGCGGCCUACCAGGCUCCUCUGUCCAUGGGAUUUUCCAGGCAAGAGUACUGGAGUGGGGUGCCAUCGCCUUCUCUGUACAGUGCUGCUGCCAUCCAAUAUUCUUUAGCCACCAGGACUAGCAAGACAGACUCAAGCUACAGGCAGCACCUAUUUUGUCUGUUUGUCAAAUGGGGAUUUGACCCUGCUGGUGAGGUAGGGCUCUCUCGUAUCAUGGACAUUUCCCCCAUGAACAAACAAAACAGCAAAGCUGUUUACAAAGUGAUGGGCAAAUAAAAAAAGGGAGUCCCCUUUGAGCUGACAGGUGUUCACUACAUCAAAAUUUUAGUAAAUGGAUUGAAAACAAAAGUGUGAUAGGUUGAAAU
ensembl:lncRNA